GCUGGGGUACGCAAGUUUGCUAAACCUGUGUGCUUUCGGGCACGCGAGGGUUCAAAUCCCUCCCCCAGCG
rnacentral:tRNA from 1 species